rnacentral:rRNA from 1 species
GAUGAACGCUGGCGGCGUGCCUAAUACAUGCAAGUCGAGCGAAUGGAUUAAGAGCUUGCUCUUAUGAAGUUAGCGGCGGACGGGUGAGUAACACGUGGGUAACCUGCCCAUAAGACUGGGAUAACUCCGGGAAACCGGGGCUAAUACCGGAUAACAUUUUGAACCGCAUGGUUCGAAAUUGAAAGGCGGCUUCGGCUGUCACUUAUGGAUGGACCCGGGUCGCAUUAGCUAGUUGGUGAGGUAACGGCUCACCAAGGCAACGAUGCGUAGCCGACCGGAGAGGGUGAUCGGCCACACUGGGACUGAGACACGGACCAGACUCCGACGGGAGGCAGCAGUAGGGAAUCUUCCGCAAUGGACGAAAGUCUGACGGAGCAACGCCGCGUGAGUGAUGAAGGCUUUCGGGUCGUAAAACUCUGUUGUUAGGGAAGAACAAGUGCUAGUUGAAUAAGCUGGCACCUAGACGGUACCUAACCAGAAAGCCACGGCUAACUACGUGCCAGCAGCCGCAGUAA